rnacentral:rRNA from 1 species
UACGUAGGUGGCAAGCGUUGUCCGGAUUUAUUGGGUUUAAAGGGUGCGUAGGCGGCCCUGUAAGUCAGUGCUGAAAUAUCCCGGCUUAACCGGGAGGGUGGCAUUGAUACUGCAGGGCUUGAGUACAGAUGAAGUAGGCGGAAUUGACGGUGUAGCGGUGAAAUGCAUAGAUAUCGGGAGGAACACCAGUGGCGAAGGCGACUACCUGGCCUGUUUCUUGACGCUGAGGCGCGAAAGCUAGGGGAGCAAACGGG